rnacentral:lncRNA from 1 species
CUAAGAGACGAGUCAUCCUGUUUGCUUUUGUUGUGUUCAAUUUUUAGCCUCUAUUUUUCAUAAAUAAUCCUGCAGUGAGCCAUGAUCACGCCACUGCACUCCAGCCUGGGUGGCAGAGUGAGACUCUGUCUCGGAAACCAACAAAUAAAAAGAACUUAUGAAGUGCCAUGGAACAGGCAUUCUUCCAUUGGGUCAAUGCUAGCCCGCAUAUUUCAACACAUCUGAAGAGGGGAUAAAUCUUAUGAAUGACAUUUAUUUUUAAUGACAUACA